CAAUCGAACCCGGAGAUAGCUGGUUCUCCCCGAAAUAGCUUUAGGGCUAGCGUCGCAGCGAGAGAGCCGUGAAGGUAGAGCACUGAAUAUGCGAUGGCCGCAUCCCGCGGUACUGAGCAUAAUCAAACUCCGAAUGUCACGGUGUCAUCUGCGGCAGUCAGACGGCGAGUGAUAAGGUCCGUCGUCAAGAGGGAAACAGCCCAGACCAUCAGCUAAGGUCCCAAAGUGCAUGCUAAGUGGAAAAGGAAGUGGAGACGUGCAGACAACUAGGAGGUUGGCUCAGAAGCAGCCAUCCUUCAAAGAGUGCGUAACAGCUCACUAGUCGAAUGACUCUGCGCCGAUAAUUUACCGGGGCUAAGCAUGACACCGAAGCUAUGGACAGGAAUGUGGUAGGGGAGCAUUGCAUGCAGCGGAGAAGCAUGACCGAGAGGGCAUGUGGAGCGCAUGGAAGAGAGAAUGCCGGCGUGAGUAGCGGCACGUGGGUGAGAAUCCCACGCACCGAUGGCCCAAGGUCUCCAGAGGAAGGCUCGUCCUCUCUGGGAUAGUCGGGACCUAAGGCGAGGCCGAAAGGCGUAGCCGAUGGACGACGGGUGGAUAUUCCCGUACCCGAUGUGUGGCGAUGGAGUGACGGAGAAGGCUCAGGCAACCAGCUGCUGGAAUAGCUGGGGCAAGCGAGAUACCUGCGCACCAGGGAAAUCCGGUGCGCAUAAGGGGAAGGCGCGAUGCAUACGGAAAGCUGCGGCAAGUACGGAAAAGCUGAGAGCAGGCUUCCAGGAAAAGCUUCUAGCACAACACACAUCGGCCCGUACCGAAAAUGGACACACAUGGGCAAGGAGAGAAUCCUGAGGUGAGCGAGAGAACUAUAGCUAAGGAACUCUGCAAAAUGACCCCGUAACUUAGGGAGAAGGGGUGCUCCAGAAAUGGAGCCGCAGUAAAACGGCCCAAGCGACUGUUUACCAAAAACACAGCUCUCUGCGAAGGCGCAAGCCGAAGUAUAGGGGGUGACGCCUGCCCGGUGCUGGAAGGUCAAGGGGAGCUGUCAGCGCAAGCGAAGCAGCGAGCCGAAGCCCCAGUAAACGGCGGCCGUAACUAUAACGGUCCUAAGGUAGCGAAAUUCCUUGUCGGGCAAGUUCCGACCCGCACGAAAGGCGUAACGAUUUGGGCGCUGUCUCAGCUGUAGACUCGGUGAAGUCUUAGUACCUGUGAAGAUGCAGGUUGCCCGCGACUAGACGGAAAGACCCCAUGGAGCUUCACUGCAGGUUGACAUUGGGCUUGGAUGCAUGAUGUACAGGAUAGGUGGGAGGCUGUGAGCCGUGCGCGCCAGCGUACGGGGAGCCGCUGUUGGGAUACCACCCUUCAUGCAUCUAGGUCCUAACCGGAGGCAACGGGCCACGGGACAGUGUCAGUCGGGCAGUUUGACUGGGGCGGUCGCCUCCCAAAGAGUAACGGAGGCGCCCAAAGAUACCCUCAGCAUGGAUGGAAACCAUGCAUAGAGUGCAAAGGCAUAAGGGUGUCUGACUGCGAGACAUACAGGUCGAGCAGGGACGAAAGUCGGGCUUAGUGAUCCGGCGGAUCCGAAUGGAAGGGCCGUCGCUCAACGGAUAAAAGCUACCCUGGGGAUAACAGGCUGAUCUCCCCCAAGAGUCCACAUCGACGGGGAGGUU
rnacentral:rRNA from 1 species